GAGUUUGAUCAUGGCUCAGAUUGAACGCUGGCGGCAGGCCUAACACAUGCAAGUCGAGCGGUAGCACAAGAGAGCUUGCUCUCUGGGUGACGAGCGGCGGACGGGUGAGUAAUGUCUGGGAAACUGCCUGAUGGCGGGGGAUAACUAGUGGAAACGGUAGCUAAUACCGCAUAACGUCGCAAGACCAAAGUGGGGGCCCUUCGGGCCUCACGCCAUCAGAUGUGCCCAGGUGGGAUUAGCUGGUAGGUGAGGUAACGGCUCACCUAGGCGACGAUCCCUAGCUGGUCUGAGAGGAUGACCAGCCACACUGGAACUGAGACACGGUCCAGACUCCUACGGGAGGCAGCAGUGGGGAAUAUUGCACAAUGGGCGCAAGCCUGAUGCAGCCAUGCCGCGUGUGUGAAGAAGGCCUUCGGGUUGUAAAGCACUUUCAGCGAGGAGGAAGGGUAAUGUGUUAAUAAGACAUUGCAA
rnacentral:rRNA from 1 species